UACGUAGGGUGCAAGCGUUAAUCGGAAUUACUGGGCGUAAAGCGUGCGCAGGCGGUGAUGUAAGACAGAUGUGAAAUCCCCGGGCUCAACCUGGGAACUGCAUUUGUGACUGCAUCGCUGGAGUGCGGCAGAGGGGGAUGGAAUUCCGCGUGUAGCAGUGAAAUGCGUAGAUAUGCGGAGGAACACCGGUGGCGAGGGCAAUCCCCUGGGCCUGCACUGACGCUCAUGCACGAAAGCGUGGGGAGCAAACAGG
rnacentral:rRNA from 1 species